rnacentral:lncRNA from 1 species
AAUUAUAUAUUAUUUAUGUGUAAAUAACAUAUGUAUAUAUUUGCGUUCAGCACGCAAAAAAUUUUCAACUUUGGGCCCGUGCACACGGGCCAUUACUACCUAUUAUGUGUAUAUAUAGAUAUUUUUUAACUACAUUUUAAUUUCUGAAAUUCUUUUUUACAUGGAUUGUGUUCUCCUGACAUUCAGCCAUCAAAAAGGACUCGGCAAAAUGGGAAAGUCCAGGGUCACAUCAGAAACUAGAAACCUGGAGGGUAUAUCUCUACUAUGGGGUGGUAAUACUGAGCUUCUCAUGCAGUCAAUCACGAACCCACCACAACAUCAAAGGAGUCAGAAUCGAUGCAGAAUGAGCUAAAUCAAUAUCAAACCAAGAUAUGUUCUUACCCACUAGAGCUAAUACCCAUUCAAGAUGGGGCUUUCAGCAAAAAGAAGCAGCACAUCCACCCACCGGAGAGCACAAAAAAAAAAAAAAGAACAAGUUAGUGCAGUAUUCGAAUAGGAGAUAGAGAAGUAGAAAGUACUCACUAUUGAAAGCUGAUACACAAGCAGUGGGAGCAAAGCAAAACCAUUAAUGAUCCAGAGGAAAAGAAGCAAAAGCUGGUGAUUGAAUAGCGUUGGCAACGUCAGGUUCAGGUGCUCAGGGCGGAAGGAAAUAAAGGCUGAAUUAGGAAACCCUUGUUCUUAGGGUAUAUGUAAUAGAGAUAGUUGGUCAAAUCGGGUUUUCGAAUUGGGCUAUAGAUUAGAUUUUUGUUUCUUAGUUUAGUUGUUUGUUUUUAUUUUGGACCAGUUGCCUUCGUUGUGUAUUUGAUUUUCUUAAUUAAUCAAUAAAAUUUAAAAUUUGUUUUUUAAAAAAAAAGUAUUCUCCUGACUGAGGAUUCCGUGAUUUUAAAGACCAUAUUUAAAAUAGGAAAUGUCACGUGAAUUGGAUCGUAGCAGUUACUUUUUUACGAGAAAAGAAAAUGAAAAGUUGUUCCAUGAACUUAUAGAUGUUUUCUGUUGUCACAUAUGGCACUUUGCUGGCACUUAUGAUGUGUGCUUCAAAACUAGAGGUCCUUUUGGUACCAUGAGGUUCAGAGCUGAGCAAUCACAUGGUGCAAACAAUGGUAAGUGCCGUAGAAAAUAUAUCACAAUACUAGGCAAGUCUGAUGCGACAAGUUCACAAUUGAUUGCAGACGGAGGUUGAAUUCGAUAAUAAAUCUCCCACACGAAAGAUUCACCUCCCAACAACGCAACCAUUCCCUCGCCAAUAAACUUAAAGCUUUAAACAAAAUACAACAACAAUAUACCCAAUGUACCAUUACCUCGGAUAAAGUACAUAGACUAUUUUCAAAUUGAUUCUAAUAUUCCAAAUUCAAUCAAAUAUAAUAAUAAAUGGAUGAAGUAGUAAAUAUUCUUGAUAAUAAUAAGGAACAAAAAGCAACAAAGUCAGAUGUUAUGGAAUUUGUCAUUCGUCCUGUCACUUCAAACAUGUUGCCAACUUGACUACACAUAUAUCCAAUCAAAAUUAAAGUAUAUAAUAAAAAACAAAAAUUACAAAUAAUGACUCCCACUUUGAAAAAAAACUCAUCAAUCUAUUUUAACUAAUCUAAUCUUCAUUAAUUCCAAAUUAAUAUCCAUAUACGUCAACCUCAAAAUCUUCUUGUCCAUUCUUUUAUUUUAUUUAAAUAUGGUAUAUGUAUUUAGGCAGCUUAAUCAAAUCAAAGGUAUGAUUAUCUUGCAAAGAUUUAAUUUCAUCUUCCAUAGCAUCAAACUACUUUUCUUUUUCAUCAAACUACUUUUUUUUUCUUCACUUUUCAUGGCCUCAUCAAGACUCUUAGAUUCUCCCCCGUCAGUCAAACGUACAUACUCACUGGGAGAAUAACGAGAUGAAGGUAUUCUUUCUCUUGUAGAUCGUCUGAGAGAACUCUCUGGAGCAUCAACAACUGGUUGCUGAUCAACCAUAUCAACUUGCACUGGAGCAUCAACAACUUUUUGCUGGUCAUUCUGAACAUGAUCAUCAUCUUCAUUAUCAACUUGAUUUUCAUCAUCAUGAAGAUUUUCUUCAGGAGCAGUAGUCAAAAGAACUAGAUCAAUAUCAACUAAGCUCUCACUACUCUGAGAAUCAACCUUCCCAGCUUUGUCAAAAUCUUCAAUUGUUUGGUCUUCAAAGAACACAACAUCGCGACUUCUAACAAGUUUCUUCUCAAUUGGAUCAUAGAAACGAUAGCCAAAUUCAUCUUGACCAUAACCAAUGAAGAUACACUGUCUAGUUUUAACAUCCAACUUUGACCUUUCAUCCUUAGGAACAUGAACAGAAGAUUUACACCCAAAGACUCUAAGAUGGUCAUAAGAAACAUUCUUAUCAGACCAAACUCUGUCAGGGACAUCACCAUUCAAAGCAACAGUAGGAGAUAAAUUGAUAACAUAAACAACCGUAUUAAGUGCUUCUGCCUAAAAGGAAUUUGGUAGUUUAGCAUCUGAAAGCAUACAUCUAACCCUAUCAACUAGUGUUCUGUUCAUCCUGUCUGCUAAGCCAUUCAACUGAGGAGUCUUUGGAAGAGUUUUCUGAUGCCGAAUACUCUGCUCUCUGCAAUAUCUAUCAAAAGGACCAAUAUGCUCACCACCAUUAUCUGAACGGAUGUAUUUCAAUUUUUUCCUUGUUUGUCUUUCAUCCAAGGCUUAAAAAUUCUUGAACACAUCAAGUACUUGAUCCUUGAACUUCAAAGGAAAUAUUCAGAGUUUGCGAGAAUGAUCAUCAAUAAAAAUCACAAAGUAAAGUGCAUCACCAUGAGACCUUACUUUAAAAGGACCGCACAAAUCAGAAUGCACCAACUCCAGCAAAUCGAGCUUUCUUGAAGGCGGAUGACUCUGAAAAGAAACUCUUUUCUGUUUACCGGCUAAGCAAUGAACACACUUCUUCAACUUUGCUUGUUUUACUCCAGAAAGCAAAUUUUUCUUAGCCAAACUAUCAAUCCCCUUCUCACUCAUAUGACUCAACCUUCUAUGCCACAACUCUGAUGAAGUAUCAUUCUCCACCAAGUUUAUCAAGCCUCUAGAAGUAGAGCCCUGAAAUAUGUACAAGUUAGACAACUUGUCAUCUCGAUCCACAAUCAUCGAACCUUUAGUAAGCUUCCACUGGCUAGCACCAAGGUUAUUAACAUAACCCUCAUCAUCAAGACUUCCUACAGAAAUCAAAUUCAGGCGAACAUCUGGAGCAUGCUAGACAUUAUUGAGAACUAGUUUGGAACCAUUGUUUCCAAACAAAUCGUGCCAAUACCAAGUACUUUAAAUUCAUCAUAUUUUCCAUUUUCAACAUCCCAAAAUUACCUGGAGUAUAAGAAGAAAAUAAUACCUUCUUUGGCAUAACAUGAGAAGUAACACCAGAAUCCACAAACCAGCUAGACUCAUCGCGAACAAGAUUAAUGGCAUUUUCACUACAAGCAACAAGAAGAUCAUCAUCAGCAACACAAUUUUCAUUAUCGCUUUCUUUCUUUUGCCGUCUUAUAUCUCUCUUAUGCUUGUAACAAUAUUUUAUGAUAUGCCUCUUUUUGUUGCUAUAGUCACAUGUAACAUUCUUGAAUUUGGAUCUUGACUUGCUUCUACUUUUAUCUCUAUCAUUUGAAUAUCUGGACUUGUUUCUCCCCCUCUCUUCAGUAACCAAAACAUCAGAGUAUGGAGAUGAAGAAGAUGAGGCCUGAGAUCUUCUUCUCAUCUCUUUAUUCAAGACACCACUCUUAACAUAUUCCAUAGUUACAAUACCACCAGGAGCAGAAUUAGUCAAAGAAACUCAAAGAGUUUUCCAAGAGUCAGGCAGAGUAUUAAAAAGUCAAAGUCCCUGAAUUUCUUCAUCGAACUUUAUACCCAUUCCGGACAGCUGGUCAAGGACACCCUGAAAAUCAUUUAUAUGAUCAGAAAUAGGAUUGCCUUCUUUAUACCUGAUAUUCAUCAAUUGAUUAAGCAGGAGCAACUUGUUAUUGCCAGUCUUCGAAGCAUAAAGUGUCUCAAGCUUGUCCCACAAACUUCUAGCAUGUGUCUUAUUCACAAUAUGAUUUAUAACAUUAUCUUCAACCCAUUGUCUAAUAUAGCCACAAACCUAUAAGUGCUCAAAUUCUCAAUCCUCAUUUGUCAUGGAUUCAGGUUUAGUAGAUGCAAACACAGGUAGAUGUAUUUUCUUGACAAAUAGAAGAUCUUUCAUCUUGCCUAUCCAAGUAUGAUAGUUACUACUAUUCAAACACACCAUCUUACUCAUAUUUUCCUCCAUCAAUUAAAUCGAUAAUCAACAACAACCAACACUCUGAUACCACUUGUUAAAAAAGAUGGGCACACAAUCAAAGAGCCCGACAGGGUAGUAGCGAAAAAUACCCAAGACUAAAAUUUUCCUUUCAACUUGAACCAAGAGGAGAUAAAUAAACUCAAGAAAAAUAGAGUAAUAUACAACAAACAACUCAACCAAAUAAAACAAUACAAGAAUAAAGGCAAUCACACGAGACACAAGAUUUACGUGGAAAACCAUUUAGUGUGAAGAGUAAAAAACCACGGGACCAAAACUUCCACUAUAAUCACCUAAGAUUUACAAUAUUGUGCUUCAAAAUUGCCACCAAACAAGUUCCAAACAACAAGAAAUAAUAAAUAAUCCACAGCACCAAACACUAGAGAAACAAAGGAGUGAAAGCACAAAAAAUACAGCUACUGUUCGAAAAUGAAGAACAGGAGAUACAUGUCAUAAAAUCAAGAUCCGUUAGUUCCUAAUUAAAUAUUGAGAUGAGAGGAACAAGCAGUCCAAAAAUCAGCUCAAUCGGACAAGUAACGAAGCGGGAAUCACAAUUUGAAGUUGACAGUUGUGGCUGAAAUUUAGGUGAGAAAAUCAGCAUUGUUUUUCUCUCUUUGGCUGCUGAAAACUCUCUUUUUUGUGAUGGUGAAUAAGACCUAAAAAUAUCAAUAUAUAUGCCCUAUAGUAAUGGGCCUAUGGGCAAAAGUGGGUUUGUCCAAAUUGGGCUUCAUUUUAUCCACAUAGGAAGGGACAAAGGCCUAUGACCCAACAAAAUGCAGCACUAUGUAAAUAGUCUAGAAUGUAGAUAAGAAUUUCUAGAAUGUAAGCAAACGAUUGUCAAUUAUAUAUUGUUUAUGUGUAAAUAACAUAUGUAUAUAUUUGCGUUCAGCACGCAAAAAAAUUUCAACUUUGGCCCGUGCACACGAGCCAUUACUAUUUAGUAUAUGUAUAUAUAGAUAUUUUUUAACUACAUUUUUAUUUUUAAAAUUCCUUUUUACAUGGAUUGUGUUCUGACAUUCAGCCAUCAAAAGGGACUUGGAAAAAUGGGAAAGUCCAGGGUCACAUCAGAAACAAGAAACCUGGAGGGUAUAUCUCUACUAUGGGGUGGUAAUACUGAGCUUCUCAUGCAGUCAAUCACG